GAGGAGCCUGUUCUAUAAUCGAUAUACCACGAUACACCUCACCAAUUCUUGCUAAUUCAGUCUAUAUACCGCCAUCUUCAGCAAACCCUGAUUAAGGAACAAAAGUAAGCAUAAUCAUUUCUACAUAAAAACGUUAGGUCAAGGUGUAACUCAUGAAUUGGGAAGCAAUGGGCUACAUUCUUUAACUAAAAGAAUUAACGAAAGUUUCUAUGAAACUAGAAACCAAAGGAGGAUUUAGUAGUAAGCUAAGAUUAGAAAGCUUAACUGAAAGAGGCAAUGAAGCACGU
rnacentral:rRNA from 1 species